AAUUAAACCGUUGUGCUAAAAGGACCGGUCAUCCGCUGAUCUCCAUGACGUUAAGGAUCGUUCUAUUCCAAUUCUCUGGUCCAACUCAAGUUGAAGCAUGGUGUCUAUCGGAUAUUCAAAACUUUGCCAAAUAAUUCUUUCGCCUUCAUCAUUUUGAACCAAAACCAGAUUUCCUGAAUUUAGGAGCCGAGCUGCACAAUUCGCUAUUCCUUCCACUGAAACUGUU
rnacentral:misc_RNA from 1 species